rnacentral:misc_RNA from 1 species
CAACAACAAUACAAGUGACAAACACUGCACCGCCCAACACACUAUUAAGACCCACAUCUCCUGCAUCCUUACCCACAAAGGCAGCAAUACUUGCAAACACAUCUGGUGCUCCAUUCCCAAGUGGAAGGAGGGUANGGAGGGUAACCCCAGCCACAGUAGGAGGCAACUUCAAAAGACUAGACAACUUCUCCAACGAACAACAAAAGUAGUCUGCUGCAGUAUUCCCCAACAUAUAAAACAAAGCAGCAAGCCAAAUACCCAAAAACACAUAACCUAACUCUCUAAAAUCACCACAAUCACAAUACAGAAAUUUGAUAUAAUCAACGAACCCACCAGAUGAACAAUCUGGGUUCGCUUUCAAGUACUCGCAUUCAUUAGCAUAACCCUUAUGAUCAAUCAAUCCACCACAUAAAACUGGAUCCUGUACACUCACAUUGUUUUGAUUAUUAGACCCAUCGAUUAUGGUUUUCGAAUAGGCAUCGACUUCAAUCAUUUGCCUACGAAUUAUACCAUUAUGACUCGACCCACUGCCCAAAACAGCUCCCGGAGUUGGAUAUGGACGACUAAAGGGGUUUUUAGGUACAUCUACCCGCUUGUAGAAUAAAAAUAACAGGAUAAUACUACAGACACCAUUGAAAGCCCCUCUGAAUUUGGGGUUUCUAACACUAUACAAGCUAUCAAACACUUUCAUCUCUGAUAUUCGACUCUAUAAAUCUCAAGGGAGAAUGAAUAAACACCACCAAGCUUCAAAAUAAUAGUUAAAGCCCACAUGUCAUACGAGCCUAGGGUUUCAUUUCGCAAGCAAUGAAACCCUAGAUUUCAAGCAAAGACCUUUAGCUAUAAAUGGAACCUGG